rnacentral:lncRNA from 12 species
UAGCAAGACUGUCUUAUCACUAUGACGUGAUAAUGUCCCCAUGCAGAAUCUAAAGUCUUGCUGGAACUAAAGCUGACAGAAGCUAUUGAUAUUUUUAUACAGUUGUAGGUGAGACAACAGAGAGAUGUCAACAGAAAGCGCUGACAGAGGGACAGGCUGGACUUGUUCAUGCAACACAGAUGAAGAGUCAAGAGUGUAGUCACUGGAACAACAAAAGCAAAUAAAUAAAAACAAGGAACUUAGUGGAAGUGUUAUGAAAGCCAAGUAGAGAACUAACCUGAAAACGGAGGAAUGCAAAAAAGACCAGACUGAGAAUCAUAGAGCAAUGUCUACAAAAGUAGAAGAAUGUGGGACUGAGAAGUCGAUGAAUCACUAGAAUCUUCAGAAUUAUACGAAAGUGGAGAAGAUGUCCUCCCAGGAAUUAAGCUUGGGACUGCGCACCUAGAAAAAGUGGCUGUGGAAAUCACAAAUUGACAAGAUGCGUUGUUUGGAACACCUUUCUGACACCUACAGAGACUGCUUGGGAGAGGAAACUGGAUGAAGGGACACCUGGAUGGCUCAGCAGUUCAGCCCCUGCCUUCAGCCCAGGGUGUGCUCCUGGAGUCCGG